rnacentral:rRNA from 1 species
UACGUAGGGUGCAAGCGUUGUCCGGAAUUAUUGGGCGUAAAGAGCUCGUAGGCGGUCUGUCGCGUCGGCUGUGAAAGCCCGGAGCUCAACUCCGGGUCUGCAGUCGAUACGGGCAGACUUGAGUGUUGCAGGGGAGACUGGAAUUCCUGGUGUAGCGGUGAAAUGCGCAGAUAUCAGGAGGAACACCGGUGGCGAAGGCGGGUCUCUGGGCAACAACUGACGCUGAGGAGCGAAAGCGUGGGGAGCGAACAGG